GACGUAGGGUGCGAGCGUUGUCCGGAUUUAUUGGGCGUAAAGGAGCUCGUAGGCGGUGUGUUCGCGUCGGCCGUGAAAACCUGCAGCUUAACUGUGGGCGUGCGGUCGAUACGGGCAUCACUGGAGUUCGGCAGGGGAGACUGGAAGUUCCUGGUGUAGCGGUGAAAUGCGCAGAUAUCAGGAGGAACACCGGUGGCGAAGGCGGGUCUCUGGGCCGAUACUGACG
rnacentral:rRNA from 1 species